AAGUAUAAGUAACUAACAGUACGUACGCGUCUUCGGGCGCUGCAUGGCGGCCCUUAUAUACUUUGAUAUUGCUACUUCUUCAACUCCUGUUCGUUUAUUAAAGCGGAUUUUUAACCUUACAUGUGGCUUAGAAGUACUUAUGCAAAAGUUUUUUAUCUUAUCUUUCACAUAAAAAAAGAUUUAUAUUCCAACAGUCUUUCUACAAUGAGUUAUAAAUAAAUGAAAUUUGCGAGUUUAUUUUCGCUUCGCUUGCUGCGGUCUUCGUCUCCCGAUAUUUUUCAGCCUUCCGGUCACGUGACUUCCGCUUAUAAAGUAAGGCUAGGUAUACGUAUACGUACGAUAUAUACAUCACUAUGUAGUCAUCAGAGAAGAGAGAACCGGUCUUCUGCUAUUUAAAAUUUUUUUUAAUAUAAACAAAUCUAUGUUGAAUCAAUCAAUUAUAAUUUGUGAGUGAAAAAGUUAAUACUUUUAACCAAGAUACUAUACUAGCAUCACAAUUACCACUUUUGGAGUGCGAUUUGCUGCAUGGAGUUACUACUUGGAGUGCGAACUGCUUCAUGGAGUUUCAGUGCGACAAACUCCAUCAUUUUCAGCAGUCAAUCAAAUUAACGGGUUAAAUGAGAAUGGUGACUGGUUAAGAGGCAUCAUCGUAAGAACAAUAACUGGCUGUUUUACUAUGCUCUCAACUAUGCUGCUGUUGCUACUGGCUUUACUUUUCCACACAUUUGGUUUAAUCAAAUAGGGCAAGGACAAGGUUCAUAGACGAGACAGCAUCCAUAAAGUAGAUACGGAGGAUAAUGAUAACCAGUCAAUAAGAGUCACAAGAGGUCUACAAGAGGACAUUUGUAAACAUUGGUAAACCAUAUAACAGUUGUGCACUUGCAGCAGCAGGAUCAUAUUUUUCUCAGUUUAAUCACUUCAUCUUACAUACUAUGUAUCUUAAUUCUUACGGUUAAUUUAUCAACAGCAUACAUUGUCAAAAUCCAAGAGAGUUCGUUCUCCAGUGCUUAGUUCUUCAUUUCAAACUUUUAAUUUCAAAAAGGUUGCUGCUUAACGUGCUACUACAUAAGCCUGAUAAAUUCAUGCUGGUAGCAAUUUUUCCUAUAGAAAAUUUAGUACUGGGAACAAAUUGAAAGUUUUAAUUCAAAGUGCUAAAACUUUUGGAAUCAGCUGGACUGCAAAAAAUUCUACAGAAUAAGAUCAAUUUGAGGAUAAGAAGGAGCCAAAUAUUCCAUUACAAGGUUGGUUUUUGCAUAGAUUUUUCUUGGAUAAACUAGUGAACGAAUCACAAUAGUUAUCGAUUGCUUUAUAAUUGGUAUCAUCUUAUAACUAUUCAAAGUGACAUCGGAUCUUAAGUCUGUAUGGAAACAUUUAACCUACAAAAUUUAUAGGACUUCAAUAUUUUUUACCAGCAAAAGGAAGUCUUUAGCAAGGAGUUAUCAUUGUAAACUUAUCCAGACAAAAAAAUUGACAAUUAUGUACAACUAUUAUUACUUGAAUUUGAAACUCUCUACCCUUCUGAUGCUGUACCUUCCAGGCGCCUUAAAACUAGUAAAGCUACUGAUAUCAUUGUGUGUGCAUUCUCAAAUAUCUUGAGAAACUUGGAUCAAGCUAACCAGUGUUUUUGAGUAAGCUCGAGAUCCUUACAAAAUUAAGUCAAUGCCAAAAUAUUACAAACUAUCAGGAAUGAAAAUAAAAACUCAAUUCAAGAAUGAACAUAUGGAUUUAUUCAAAGUAUGAGGAUGCUAUACAUAAAAUAUAAGAAUAAUAUAAAAUAAUUCAAGAAGUCAGCGAGAGCUGUUAUAAACUAUCAGCAUUUAAUAAAAUUAAAAGUUGAAUCUGUUAAUGAAUUAUAUUCCGUACAAAUAGCAAAAUUAUCAAUUAAUUUAUAUGAAAAAUUUCUUUGUAAAUAAAAUAAAAAUUUGAAAUGAUAUAA
rnacentral:lncRNA from 1 species